AACGAACGCUGGCGGCAGGCUUAACACAUGCAAGUCGAGCGCCCCGCCAGGGGAGCGGCAGACGGGUGAGUAACGCGUGGGAACGUACCUUUUGGUCCGGAACAACUCCGGGAAACUGGAGCUAAUACCGGAUAAGCCCUAACGGGGAAAGAUUUAUCGCCGAAAGAUCGGCCCGCGUCUGAUUAGCUAGUUGGUGAGGUAACGGCUCACCAAGGCGACGAUCAGUAGCUGGUCUGAGAGGAUGAUCAGCCACACUGGGACUGAGACACGGCCCAGACUCCUACGGGAGGCAGCAGUGGGGAAUAUUGGACAAUGGGCGCAAGCCUGAUCCAGCCAUGCCGCGUGAGUGAUGAAGGCCUUAGGGUUGUAAAGCUCUUUUGUCCGGGAAGAUAAUGACUGUACCGGAAGAAUAAGCCCCGGCUAACUUCGUG
rnacentral:rRNA from 1 species